UACGUAGGGUGCGAGCGUUAAUCGGAAUUACUGGGCGUAAAGCGGGCGCAGGCGGUUUGCUAAGGCAGAUGUGAAAUCCCCGGGCUUAACCUGGGAACUGCAUUUGAGACCGGCGGGCUAGAGUAUGGCAGAGGGGGGUAGAAUUCCACGUGUAGCAGUGAAAUGCGUAGAGAUGUGGAGGAAUACCGAUGGCGAAGGCAGCCCCCUGGGCCAAUACUGACGCUCAUGCACGAAAGCGUGGGGAGCAAACAGG
rnacentral:rRNA from 1 species